GAUGAAGAACGUAGCGAAAUGCGAUAAGUAAUGUGAAUUGCAGAAUUCAGUGAAUCAUCGAAUCUUUGAACGCACAUUGCGCCCAUUAGUAUUCUAGUGGGCAUGCCUGUUCGAGCGUCAUUAAUUCCACUUAAGCCCUGCUUAGUGUUGGGAAUCUACUCUAGUGGUGCUACACUGGAGCUACCCCUGAAAGGGGGCUGGCCCGGUAGCUACCCUGUAGUUCCUCAAAGAUAGUGCGCGGAGUUGCGUGGUCCUCUGAGCUUAGUAACUAUACACCUAGCUUUUGAGUGUCCCGCGGCGCCUGCCGUUUAAACCCCAUCUUUUAAUGGUUGACCUCGGAUCAGGUAGGAAUACCCGCUGAACUUAAGCAUAUCAAUAAGCGGAGGA
rnacentral:misc_RNA from 1 species